GCCGGAGUGGCGAAAUUGGUUUACGCGCACGACUCAAAAUCGUGUAGAGGAAACUCUGUGUGGGUUCGAGUCCCACCUCCGGCA
rnacentral:tRNA from 1 species